rnacentral:rRNA from 1 species
ACGAGCGCAACCCCUAUCCUUAGUUGCCAUCAGGUAAAGCUGGGAACUCUAAGGAGACUGCCCCGGAAAUCGGGGAGGAAGGUGGGGAUGACGUCAAGUCCUCAUGGCCUUUAUGUCCAGGGCUACACACGUGCUACAAUGGGCGGUACAACGAGUCGCNAAGCCGCGAGGCCGAGCCAAUCUCAAAAAGCCGUCCUCAGUUCGGAUUGGAGUCUGCAACUCGACUCCAUGAAGGUGGAAUCGCUAGUAAUCCCGGAUCAACAUGCCGGGGUGAAUACGUUCCCGGGCCUUGCACACACCGCCC